CAGGGCCCCUGGGGGCUCGGCUGGGGCUAGGCUAGGCCUGCCAUCUGCCCCCGGCUGCCUCUGACGAGGCCCCACAGCCCCCCCCCGUGCGUGCCCUCCUCCCAGGGAGAUCAGGGCUCCCGGCCGCUCCGGGUUCCGACCCCAGCCAGCACCUCCCACACCCCUGGGGGCACAGACUCUGCCCGCACUUGACGACACCACGCCUCGAGAGGACCCCAGGCUGGCCGCCCGAUGGGCUGAGGGCCCGUCCACACCCCGGGCUGACCCGGCCUCCCCCGGGGGAGCUGAGGCAGAGAUGGCCCGACCCCCGGAACCUCGUCCAGGGACCCUCUGGGCUUCUCCAGGAUGGGCUGGGCUGCGAGCCUCAGCCUCAGGGGUCGGGCCUGGCUUGUCUGGAGGGUGGGGCUGAGCUGGGCCCUCCCCAGGGGCAGGGGGCAGGUCCGGGAGCGGGGGUCCCGGGGGGGCCUCCCCUGGCCGAGGAAGCACUGCAGGAACCACUUUGGGGUAUAGAUGCCGGUGGACAUCUGCUCCUCGUCCAGGCCCCAGGGGGAAGAAUGUGACCCCAAUUCUGGGCAGCUUGGAGUGCCGUGCCCCCCACCCCCUGCCCCGGGCCCCGGGGAGGGAGCCUCAGGAGCUCCCACUCGCCAUGUGCUUCCUCAGGUCAAGGAGAGCUCUUUGGAAGACGCGCUCAUGAUGAGCCUGGAACCUGAGGAGCUUCUGGAAGCCUGGGACGAAGAAGCCUGAGAAGGCCCCAGGCCCCCACGAUCAGGGCCUCCUGCACCAGAACCACCCACUGGAAGCAGGUGCUGUUUAUGAUGGACGAACCCAUGUCCGUGGUCUCGGGAGAUGUGGUCACAGGCUUGGUUGUGCUGCAGAGAAACCCCGUGUGGAGGAGGCACAUGUCCGUGGCGCUCAGCUUCCACACAAGACCCCACAUCCACACAAGACCCCACAUCGCAGAAAGUUGGAGAGAAGGUCUUUCCCAUCUGGAGAUGACGGUCGAAGUUGUGGGAAGCAGGUGCUGCAGGAACGAGCCCGGGCGGAGACGCGCUUGGAUGUGAGCCCCCGUUCCUGUGGCCUGAGAGCUCCCCUGCCCGGCGGCGGGACACCCGUGUGCGUGCACGCUACCUUCCUCGUGGCCUCCAGAGGCGCCGCGUGGGGCUCGGUGGGGACCCCUCACCCCUGUCACUGCCCGUGUCUGUGCUCUAGAAGUAGGCUGUGUCCCCAGGUGUCCACAGUCUGGCUCGUGGCCGAGUCGGUGGCACUGUGUCCCUAAGCUAGGUCUAGAUCUCAACUCAUAGGGCACACGUGCAUCAACCUCGUACUCCUGUGAAAGUGGCUGUUCACGUAUCAUGUGUCAUGGUGUCCUUGCUGCCCGGGUCCCUCCCUGUCGUGCGAAGGUGGGCGCCCCAAAGCCGUGCAGGGCCUGGAGGCGGUGAUGCAUGUGACGGGACUCUGCAUGGAUAGUACAGUCGUAGAGAUGUCUUCCACGUAAAUUAUGUGUUGGCGCAUAGCACAUACUCAAUAAAUAAUUUUA